AGGACGAACGCUGGCGGCGUGCCUAACACAUGCAAGUCGAACGGGGGUAGCAAUACCCCAGUGGCGAACGGGUGCGUAACACGUGAAGAACUUGUCCAUCGGCGGGGGAUAGCCGGCCCAACGGCCGGGUAAUACCGCGUACGCCGUCUGAAGCGCAUGCUUCGGCCGGGAAAGCAGCAAUGCACCGAUGGAGAGCUUCGCGGCCUAUCAGCUAGUUGGCGGGGUAAUGGCCCACCAAGGCGACGACGGGUAGCUGGUCUGAGAGGAUGACCAGCCACAUUGGGACUGAGACACGGCCCAGACUCCUACGGGAGGCAGCAGUGGGGAAUAUUGCGCAAUGGGGGAAACCCUGACGCAGCGACGCCGCGUGUGGGAUGACGGCCUUCGGGUUGUAACCACUGUCGCGAGGGACGAAAAAUGACGGUACCUCGAAGGAAGCACCGGCUAACUCUGCGCCAGCAGCCGC
rnacentral:rRNA from 1 species